CUCCGAAAGUAAAUAAAUGUUUUUUUAAUACAAAAACCGCUUUCGAAUAUUUAAUUGGCGCCCGAGCAGGGACCCGCGUUCGUUACCACAGAAAAGUUUACGCGUCGAAAAACAUAGUACCAACUAUUGUUCGCGAGAGCACCUAUAACGAAAUAUAGCUGCUAGUGAACGCGACGAAAAUCUUUAGUGCCUAAUCCGCAGCUACUGAAACCGGAGCAUUCGAACGUUAAUAUUAGUGCCUAAUCCGCAGCCACAUCGUGAACGAGUGACUCUAACUACGUAAACGUGGGUACCGCGUAAUCGGAGUGCGUCGCAGGAUCUUCAGUAACGGAUAAACCACUAGCACUGGAAUCUGAGGAAAGAGAGAAAUCCGGACCACCAUCGCGGGAGUCAACAAUGUUGAAAAUUAUCUUGUAAGCAUAGGCAAUAAGAUUUGAAAACAAAAGUAAAGAAAUUAAAAAAAGAAAAGAAUUAAAAC